rnacentral:rRNA from 1 species
GACGAACGCUGGCGGCGUGCUUAACACAUGCAAGUCGAACGGAAAGGCCCUGCUUUUGUGGGGUGCUCGAGUGGCGAACGGGUGAGUAACACGUGAGUAACCUGCCCUUGACUUUGGGAUAACUUCAGGAAACUGGGGCAAAAACCGGAAAGAAGCUCCGCCGGCAGGGGGGGGGUGGGAAAGUUUCGGCGGUUGGGGAUGGACUCGCGGCUUAUCAGCUUGUUGGUGGGGUAGUGGCUUACCAAGGCUUUGACGGGUAGCCGGCCUGAGAGGGUGACCGGCCACAUUGGGACUGAGAUACGGCCCAGACUCCUACGGGAGGCAGCAGUGGGGAAUAUUGCACAAUGGGCGGAAGCCUGAUGCAGCAACGCCGCGUGCGGGAUGACGGCCUUCGGGUUGUAAACCGCUUUCGCCUGUGACGAAGCGUGAGUGACGGUAAUGGGUAAAGAAGCACCGGCUAACUACGUG